rnacentral:tRNA from 1 species
GCCGAAGUGGCGGAAUUGGGAGACGCAGCGGACUCAAAAUCCGCCAAGGGUGACACCUUGUGAGGGUUCAACUCCCUCCUUCGGCA